rnacentral:misc_RNA from 1 species
GGCUUCCAUCCUUGGGUAAUGGGUUGGACUUCAAAUUGUAUCCAGCACCUGGUCCAAUCACUAAAGACCGCACAUUUGCCUUUGCUGCACCUAUAGAAAAACCAGUAUUGCCAACCUGGUCGCUCCAACGCACGGAUUUUCCUUGCUUUCCAUAUGCUUGAAUUAACCCAGAAAGAGCAUUUAAAUUGCCCUUCAUUCUUUCAUACCCUUCUGUAUCAUCUUCAUCUAAAUCAUCUGACCAUUUACUUUUACCUAAUUCUUUCACUCCUUGUGCAGAAUGGUCCUCUUCAGCAUCCCAUCUCUUCCCAUCUUUUGGAGGAACCUGAGGCAGAUUAUCCUCCAAGAGUUCAGGUAUGGCAUUCUCAGUAUUUCUUUCCAGCAGUCCAGGUGGAUUAUCAUCAUCUUCAGUAUCCAUAUCAACCUCUUGAAUUCCACUUUCCUUCAGAUCAUCACCGUGGAAUAAUGACUUGAUAUCCAGUUGCAAGUAUAAUGCCGGAGCUUCUUCCCACUGCCGAGCCAUGUCCUUUAUUUCAGUUAGUGUAAAACCAUGUACAUUCCUAGCUGCACAGCCCACAGGGUCUUUAUAUGGAGCUUCUGAUAUGUAAACUUCAUAGCCAGAUCUCUUUGCAAUUGCCCAAAACUGAGCAAAAU